GAUGAACGCUGGCGGCGUGCCUAAUACAUGCAAGUCGAGCGAAUGGAUUAAGAGCUUGCUCUUAUGAAGUUAGCGGCGGACGGGUGAGUAACACGUGGGUAACCUGCCCAUAAGACUGGGAUAACUCCGGGAAGCCGGGGCUAAUACCGGAUAACAUUUUUAACGGCAUGGUUCGAAAUUGAAAGGCGGCUCCGGCUGUCACUUAUAGCUGGACCCGCGUCGCAUUAGCUAGUUGGUGAGGUAACGGCUCACCAAGGCAACGAUGCGUAGCCGACCUGGGAGGGUGAUCGGCCACACUGGGACUGAGACACGGCCCAGACUCCUACGGGAGGCAGCAGUAGGGAAUCUUCCGCAAUGGACGAAAGUCUGACGGAGCAACGCCGCGUGAGUGAUGAAGGCUUUCGGGUCGUAAAACUCUGUUGUUAGGGAAGAACAAGUGCUAGUUGAAUAAGCUGGCACCUUGACGGUACCUAACCAGAAAGCCACGGCUAACUACGUGCCAGCCGCCGCGGUAA
rnacentral:rRNA from 1 species